rnacentral:tRNA from 1 species
GCCGAAGUAGCUCAGUUGGUAGAGCAACUCCAUGGUAAGGAGUAGGUCGCCGGUUCGAUUCCGGCCUUCGGCU